ACAGCCGAGCGCCGGAGGUCGGGGCCGGGGUCACGCGGCUCCGGGCUGCAGCUGCCGCCGUGGGGCGGGGGUCCCGGGCCGCCCCCCGGGCGUCUCGGCCCGGCAGCGGCAUCGGCAUUCCGGCGGCGCGGGCGGCCGCUGUCCUCGCACGACCCCGGCCCGUCCAGAGCGCGCCCCGCUCCGACCCUCGGGAAGACACAGUAAAGGAAUUCAAAGCGAUGAUUACCCUUCCAGAAUGCCCCUGUUGACAUUUUCCAAAAUGAAGUCACGCCCGCAGCCGGAAAGAACCUGCAGAGGAAGAGCAGGUCCGGCUCUGACCUCAGAGAGCCGGCAACUCGUGGAAACAGCCAGAUGCCAUUCUGAGCCAAGCCCAGCGGGGCUGCUGCCGGGCCAACCCAGGUCAUCCAUCCGAGUGACCACAAAACAACGAAGCCCAUCUUCCCCUGCACCAUUACUGGCCUAGAGAAGGUUCCAGAAGAGAGGCUGCAAACCUGUUUCCAGCGAAAGUGGCACCGCCGGGCUCUGAAACCAUCCAUAGGGCAGUUGGACGCGCUGUCUACACAUGGCUCUCCCGAGUGGCAUCUUCCAAGAGCCCUUUGCCGCUCCGGGCCCCUCCCCCGCCGCCUCCCACCCCUGCGAACGGGCCUGUUUCUGCGAGCACUGAAGACGGGAAACACGCGAUCUUGAAUGUGUCUCUUUCACGGUCACACAUUUUUUUCGUUGUGCAUCUUGGCUGAUCCAUGAUUUAAGAUCCCCAGCAACUGUU